rnacentral:lncRNA from 13 species
CCUGGGUUCGAGAAUCCACUAGCCUUGGCCUCCGAAAGUGCUGAGGUUACAGAUGUGAAACACCAUGCCCAGGCUUUUUUUUUUUUUUUUAAACUUAUUAGGUAUGGGGUCUCACUAUGUUGCCCAGGCUAGAGUGCUGUGGCUAUUCAUUCACAGGCAUAAUCAUGAUGCAAUACAGUAUCGAACUCCUUGGACUUCAAGAAUCCUCUUCAUUCUCCAGAGUAGCUGGGAUUACAGAUGAGUUGCAGAUGAGGCAAGGCACUGAUCACUACGUGGUGACUAACACCACCAUCACGCCUUCAGAUACUGCUAAUUUUGGAAUACCCAGAUUUGCUUCACAUCUUUUCAGAAAACCAGGGUUGUUGUCACCUGCGCUUGCUGGUAUUCUCACACUAAAUUACGUGGUCAAGAUGGAGUCUCACUCUGUCGCCCAUGCUGGAGUGCUGGCAAUCUCGGCUCAUUGCAACCUCUGCCUCCCGGGUUCAAGCAAUUCUUCUGCCUCAGCCUCCCAAGUAGCUGGGAUUACAGAGACAGAGUCUCCCUCUGUCACCCAGGCUGGAGUGCAGUGGUGGCACAAUCACAGCUUACUGCAGUCUUGAACUCCUGGGCUCAACUCCUGAUCCUCCCACCUCAGCCUCCUGAAUAGCUAGAACUACAGAUGCACACCACCAUACCUGGCUAAUAAAAAAAAAAUGUUUUUUGUAGGAAUGGGGUCU